GAUGAACGCUGGCGGCGUGCCUAACACAUGCAAGUCGAGCGAAGAGGGGAGGGGUGAGGAAUACGUGGAUAACUGCCGAUAAGACUGGGAUAAGGUCGGGAAAGCGAAGCACAACCGGAUACUUAUAGUUGGAUCCGAGCUGGAUUAGCUAGUUGGUAAGGUAACGGCUUACCAAGGCAAGGAUGCAUAGCUGACCUGAGAGGGUGAUCGGCCACCCUGGAACUGAGACACGGUCCAGACUCCUACGGGAGGCAGCAGUAGGGAAUCUUCCACAAUGGGCGAAAGCCUGACUGAGCAAUGCCGCGUGUGUGAAGAAGGUCUUCGGAUUGUAAAGCUCUGUUAUUUGGGAAGCGGUACCAACUCAGUAAGCCCCGGCUAACUUCGUGCCAGCAGCCGCGGUAAUUC
rnacentral:rRNA from 1 species